rnacentral:rRNA from 1 species
AUUGAACGCUGGCGGCAGGCCUAACACAUGCAAGUCGAGCGGAUGAAGGGAGCUUGCUCCUGGAUUCAGCGGCGGACGGGUGAGUAAUGCCUAGGAAUCUGCCUGGUAGUGGGGGAUAACGUCCGGAAACGGGCGCUAAUACCGCAUACGUCCUGAGGGAGAAAGUGGGGGAUCUUCGGACCUCACGCUAUCAGAUGAGCCUAGGUCGGAUUAGCUAGUUGGUGGGGUAAAGGCCUACCAAGGCGACGAUCCGUAACUGGUCUGAGAGGAUGAUCAGUCACACUGGAACUGGGACACGGUCCCGGCUCCUACGGGAGGCAGCAGUGGGGAAUGUUGGGCAAUGGGCGAAAGCCUGAUCCAGCCAUGCCGCGUGUGUGAAGAAAGUCUUCGGAUUGUAAAGCACUUUUAGUUGGGAGGAAGGGCAGUAAGUUAAUACCUUGCUGUUUUGACGUUACCAACAGAAUAAGCACCGGCUAACUUCGUG